rnacentral:rRNA from 1 species
AUUGAACGCUGGCGGCAGGCCUAACACAUGCAAGUCGAGCGGAUGAGUGGAGCUUGCUCCAUGAUUCAGCGGCGGACGGGUGAGUAAUGCCUAGGAAUCUGCCUGGUAGUGGGGGACAACGUUUCGAAAGGAACGCUAAUACCGCAUACGUCCUACGGGAGAAAGCAGGGGACCUUCGGGCCUUGCGCUAUCAGAUGAGCCUAGGUCGGAUUAGUUAGUUGGUGAGGUAAAGGCUCACCAAGGCGACGAUCCGUAACUGGUCUGAGAGGAUGAUCAGUCACACUGGAAAUGAUACACGGUCCAGACUCCUACGGGAGGCAGCAGUGGGAAAUAUUGGACAAUUGGCGAAAGCCUGAUCCAGCCAUGCCGCGUGUGUGAAGAAGGUCUUCGGAUUGUAAAGCACUUUAAGUUGGGAGGAAGGGCAGUAAGUUAAUACCUUGCUGUUUUGACGUUACCAACAGAAUAAGCACCGGCUAACUUCGUGCCAGCCGCCGCCGUAAGAC